GCGCAGAAAACGCGCGCUCCGCCAAUCCGCUCGACGAGAUAACGCGCGUUACUCUGGCACGCCGAGCUGUUACCGUUAUUAAUAAGUGUAAAAAAUGCCAUUAAAUCUAAGACAAAUCAUUGAAAAUAAAAGGAGCUUUCAGCAAGAGACACAGGUGUCAUUCUGUCUUUGUUAUUCGACGAGAGAUAAAGACAGAUUGAUUCUGUGUGUCUUACGCUAGAAAAUUCCUAAAAUAACGGUAUCUCAGGUCAGUUUUUUAACAAUAGUAGAAUAGUAAGAUUGAUUCAAAUUUUGAUAUAGGCCUGAAAAAUGGAUAAAGCUGUAUUUUCUCUAAAAUGUUUCAAGAUUGUAGCAUUGAUUUUCGCGCGUUACUUUCAAUAAAUCUCUCUGUGAGAAUGCGAUAGCAACAAUAACUGACACAAGAUUCACGCGUCGAGAAAUCACUCGCACGAAGGUACGACACGGCUAUCAAGGCGGUCUUAAGUAAACAAUUCUUUCGAGUUACGAUCGGCGAAAUAUUCGUUUAUAUCUAGGAAUACGAAAAAAAAAUGACAAAGGCAAAGUGGGACUUUGCUCGUCCCCCCGUUUUUCGAGUCACUCGUACGGCAUUGGCAUAACAAACGGCGAUGCGCGCGCACGCCGUUCCCGGCCGGUGCAAGGGACGAGGACAGUGCAUCGAUACGAGCGAGUGAUCGAGAGCGAGAGGGGAACGGGCGUACGAAGGAAGAAACGAGUGAACGAGAGAGACAAAGCGUAACGAGGAUAGACACAGUUUGUGAGAAGGCAACGGGGUGAGCGGGGUGGUGUGGUAUACCCCGUCGACUCAUCUGCGUGUAGUCGUGCAACGCGUGCGAAAUCUACGAGUCACACUACUUCCGAACUGGCUCGUGUUUACACGGCAGUAAGUUCAGUCUCGCUCCCACUCUUUGCUCUCUCGCACCCGUGAACGUCUCUCCCGCGCGCGCGGUUUCCGUUUCUCCGUUAGGCGUGUGCGCGGGUGUGCGUGUGCGCGUACGCGACUCGUGCGUGCGCGUAACUUCGCUGCGUGAAGUUUACGUGUCGCGCGUCGUGAGUGUGUGUCGGUGGUAGCUGCGCGCGCGCCUGUGUGAGUCGUGUGUGUUAUGUGCUUGCGCGCGCGCACGUAGCACGUAUGCGUUAUGUACAUCGUGCGGCCGCAGUGAUACACCGUUCCCGUGUUGCGAGACGCUCUCGGUCGGAGCGCGCGCGACAAAGCGAGAUUCGCCGAGGACGAGAGCCGCGCUCGGCGGCGGUAAUGACAACAAUAACGACAACGAUCACGACGACGUUGCGAUGCGCGGUAGAGAGUCGAAGGCAACGACAGUGAUUAGUGAAGUGCGAGCAACGGUGAAGUGAACGGACGAUAACGAUAACGACAACGACGACGACGACGACGACGACGACGACGACGACGACGACGACGUCGACGUCGACGGCGACAGCGACAGCGAGUGAGCAGCAGGGUCGUGCUCGCGGUCGAAGACAAUAGAACGCGCGCAAGAGUGGAACGCGAGGCCUACGGUGGCACGAUACCGGAAAGACGACGAGGUUGCUGGAAUUAAGUACGGAAGAACGAUGAGAACUUGGUCGGCGACAGUGGUGGCGACGACAACCACGACAACGACGACGACGAGGCGCCCGCAGCGACGCACCUGAAUCGCUGACGAUUACGACGGCGACGUCGUGAUGCGUCGUACCGUGUCCCUCCAGUAUCGCGCAGCAGCAGGCACCUCGCUCCAAUUGUGACGCGACGUGUUCGUGACGUGACGCGACGGAAAGCGGGACGGAGGAGAAGUUCUUGUCGGUGCGCGAGUGAGCGAGCGAGCCAGCAAGAGGCACGGAGAAACGGUGCGGAGGAAGGA
rnacentral:lncRNA from 13 species